GUGGAGCGCGCGAGAGCUCGCAAGGACCGCGCACGCGCACGCACAUCGCGAGAUCCAAUCUCCCGCCGACGACCAGCACGCAAGCUCGGGGAAGGAUCACUUGCUCUGGGAAAAGGCCCUGCCAUGCUCUGAGGGCAUGCAGGCAGAGCAGUAAAGAACGGAAGCAUUCUGCCAACAGCAAAGUAAGUGAGCCAUCUUGGAAGAAGAUGGCCCUGCGUCACUGCAACUGGGGACAACAACUUGACUGCAGUCGCAUAUGAUCCCUAGCCACAACCACCUGGCUAAAUGCUCCUCAUUUCCUGACCCUCGGGAACUAUGAGAUAAUAAAUGUUUAUUCUUUUACCC